rnacentral:tRNA from 1 species
UAUGAUGUCUAAGCGUUUUAUUCUUAGGCCAUGAUCCUGUCACCUUAGGUCGAUCGGUACCUCAGAUUAAUUAAGAAUCUAGAAGUAUAAAAUUGCUUUUUAGAUUGAUAUUUAAUUUUAGUUCCUAAACUUUGUCUAGGUCACACCCCUCAAGGGUUACUCCUGGGCCAUUAGCUCAGGUGGUUAGAGCGCACCCCUGAUAGGGUGAGGUCCCUGGUCAAGUCAGGAUGGCCCAUUCGGUGUUGGGGGUUUAGCUCAGUUGGUAGAGCGCCUGCUUUGCAAGCAGGAUGUCAGCGGUUCGAGUCCGCUAACCUCCACUGACCGACCUCCUUCAACUAUUUAUUGUUGAGGACUUUUUUGUGAUGUGAUCUAGGCCUUAAUGUCUGCUGACAGAACCUAGCUUCCUAUCAUUCCUAAACUAGAUAAAAAAUUUAGUUAAGGUUGAUAGCAUGCUGGGCUCCCUUUAAAUUCUAUUUUGAUUUAAAGAAGUUCAGUAGAACCUUGACAACUGCAUAGGUGAGUUUGGAAAGAAUAAAGCAUCUCAUGGAUGCAUUUUCUUUUGCCUCUAGUUUAUCUAUCUGCGAAAGUGGUUAGUUAAAUUAGAUUAAAAAGAGAAUGUUUGAUUCUUGAGCAAGAGCUGAGACUCUACAGUG